GCCAGGCUCCAGGUGAGAUGCUGGUAACCACCAGAGUGACUACCCUCCUGUAGGCUGCCGGCUGAUGGAGACGGAUGUCCCAUCAAGGAGUCAUAUAAAUGACCACACAGUUGCAGCUGUGCUAUCAAGGAGAGAUAAUGGUUCUGUGUGGACAUAUAAUGGGAGAAAUAGCUGGUUAAAAGGGGUGGGGGGCUUUCCUGGAGGAAAUGUUUCAUUCGUUCAACGGAUAACAGAUAUCUCCUACUCUGUGCCGGGCACUGUUCCUGCCCCCGUGACUCAGCGGUGAAGAACCAAAGUGCCUGUGCCCAUAGAGCUGGCAUUCUGGCGGAGAAGACACAGUGAACAUGCACGAUGAUGCCUUCCCACCGCCAGACUGAAAGUCCGAUUUUGACACCAUGGAGAGCGAACUGGGGCAUGGGAACUGCACUGUUGGUUGCAGA